rnacentral:rRNA from 1 species
UGGGGAAUUUUGGACAAUGGGCGAAAGCCUGAUCCAGCAAUGCCGCGUGUGUGAAGAAGGCCUUCGGGUUGUAAAGCACUUUUGUCCGGAAAGAAAUCCUUGGCUCUAAUACAGUCGGGGGAUGACGGUACCGGAAGAAUAAGCACCGGCUAACUACGUGCCAGCAGCCGCGGUAAUACGUAGGGUGCAAGCGUUAAUCGGAAUUACUGGGCGUAAAGCGUGCGCAGGCGGUUUGCUAAGACCGAUGUGAAAUCCCCGGGCUCAACCUGGGAACUGCAUUGGUGACUGGCAGGCUAGAGUAUGGCAGAGGGGGGUAGAAUUCCACGUGUAGCAGUGAAAUGCGUAGAGAUGUGGAGGAAUACCGAUGGCGAAGGCAGCCCCCUGGGCCAAUACUGACGCUCAUGCACGAAAAGCGUGGGGGAGCAAAACAGGAUUAGAUACCCCUGGUAGUCCACGCCCUAAACGAUGUCAACUAGUUGUUGGGGAUUCAUUUCCUUAGUAACGUAGCUAACGCGUG